rnacentral:rRNA from 1 species
CCUACGGGUGGCAGCAGUGGGGAAUAUUGGUCAAUGGGCGCAAGCCUGACCCAGCAACGCCGCGUGAGGGAAGAAGGUUCUCGGGUUGUAAACUUCUUUUAUCAGGGACGAAGAAAGUGACGGUACCUGAUGAAUAAGCCACGGCUAACUACGGGCCUGCAGCCGCGGGAAUACGUAGGUGGCGAGAGUUAUCCGGAUUUACUGGGUGUAAAGGGCGUGUAGGCGGGAAUGCAAGUCAGAUGUGAAAACUAGGGGCACAACCCAUAGCCUGCAUUUGAAACUGUAUUUCUUGAGUGCUGGAGAGGCAAGCGGAAUGCGGGGUGUAGCGGUGAAAUGCGUAGAUAUACGGAAGAACACCAGUUGCGAAGGCGGAGUGCUGGACAGUAACUGACGCUGAGGCGCGAAAGCGUGGGGAGCAAACAGGAUGAGAUACCCUUGUAGUC